rnacentral:misc_RNA from 1 species
GAGAGAGAGAGAGAGAGGGAACUGGUUGGGUAGAGGAGUGAUCAUGAAAUGAGGGAGAAGAAACUCAAAGAAAUUGAAAACCAUGGCCUCUUUCCUUGUCAUCUAAUUUAGUGCUUGUUUGGUAUUGUGGAUGGAGGGCCAAAACUGCUUUUUAAGAAAAAAAAAAUCAUUUUAGAUGCUGUUGAAUAAAGUAGUUUACAAAUAAAUAUUUUGUUAUUUUAGUAUUCUUA